CAGCAGCCGCGGUAAUACGUAGGGUGCGAGCGUUAAUCGGAAUUACUGGGCGUAAAGCGUGCGCAGGCGGUUUUGUAAGACAGGCGUGAAAUCCCCGGGCUCAACCUGGGAAUGGCGCUUGUGACUGCAAAGCUAGAGUGCGGCAGAUGGGGAUGGAAUUCCGCGUGUAGCAGUGAAAUGCGUAGAUAUGCGGAGGAACACCGAUGGCGAAAGCGGCUCACUGGACCAUUUCUGACGCUGAUGCACGAAAGCUAGGGGAGCAAACAGGAUUAGAUACCCCUGUAGUCCCUGUCUCUUAUAC
rnacentral:rRNA from 1 species